rnacentral:rRNA from 1 species
UACAGAGGUCUCAAGCUUUGUUCGGAUUCAUUGGGCGUAAAGGGUGCGUAGGCGGCGCGGUAAGUCGGGUGUGAAAUCUCGGAGCUUAACUCCGAAACUGCAUUCGAUACUGCCGUGCUUGAGGACUGGAGAGGAGACUGGAAUUUACGGUGUAGCGGUGAAAUGCGUAGAUAUCGUAAGGAAGACCAGUGGCGAAGGCGGGUCUCUGGACAGUUCCUGACGCUGAGGCACGAAGGUCAGGGGAGCAAACGGG